AUUGAACGCUGGCGGCAUGCUUUACACAUGCAAGUCGAACGGUAACAGGCCGCAAGGUCCUGACUAGUGGCGGACGGGUGAGUGAUGCAUCGGAACGUGCCCAGUCGUUGGGGAUAACUACUCGAAAGAGUAACUAAUACCUCAUACGAUCUAUGAAUUAAAGCGGGGGACCUUAAGGCCUCGCGCGAUUGGAGCGGUCGAUGUCAGAUUAGUUAGUUGGUGAGGUAAAGGCUCACCAAGCCAACGAUUUGUAGCUGGUCUGAGAGGACAACCAGCCACACUGGGACUGAGACACGGCCCAGACUCCUACGGGAGGCAGCAGUGGGGAAUUUUGGACAAUGGGCGAAAGCCUGAUCCAGCAAUGCCGCGUGAAGGAAGAAGGCCUUCGGGUUGUAAACUGCUUUUGUAAGGAACGAAACGGCUCUGGUUAAUACCCGGGGCUAAUGACGGUACCGUAAGAAUAAGCACCGGCUAACUACGUG
rnacentral:rRNA from 1 species